GACGAACGCUGGCGGCGUGCUUAACACAUGCAAGUCGAACGGUAAGGCCCCAGCUUGCUGGGGUACACGAGUGGCGAACGGGUGAGUAACACGUGGGUGACCUGCCCCGCACUUCGGGAUAAGCCUGGGAAACUGGGUCUAAUACCGGAUAGGACCGCACCGUGAGGGUGUGGUGGAAAGUUUUUCGGUGUGGGAUGGGCCCGCGGCCUAUCAGCUUGUUGGUGGGGUAAUGGCCUACCAAGGCGGCGACUGGUAGCCGGCCUGAGAGGGUGGACGGCCACAUUGGGACUGAGACACGGCCCAGACUCCUACGGGAGGCAGCAGUGGGGAAUAUUGCACAAUGGGCGGAAGCCUGAUGCAGCGACGCCGCGUGGGGGAUGACGGCCUUCGGGUUGUAAACUCCUUUCACCAUCGACGAAGGUUUUCUGACGGUAGAUGGAGAAGAAGCACCGGCUAACUACGUG
rnacentral:rRNA from 1 species